AACUAGUAUUACAAUGCGAGUUGGGAAAUGUGCACUUCUCGCGAUGCUGACACUCACAGUAAUGGCGAAAAGUCGAUCAAGGACGAAAGUGGCAUCAAGCUCUAUAAUUAGCUUAAGGACGGGAACAGGACUGAUCAGAAGACCAGGAAGGCUACCCAAUUCAAUAACUCCCGCAAGGCUACCGAGGUUCGCAAACAUGCUCGGAAGACAUCGGAAUGUCCCCAAACGUCAAAACUUGCGAAUCCAGCACCGUUACAGGGGACAAGGAACAAGGCGA